rnacentral:lncRNA from 1 species
AUGAACUUUAGAGGUACCUUCCAGCCUCAACUAUUCUGUAAUCAACAGGGAAAACUUCAAAACAAGCAUGGAUUUUUUCAUCGGCUAAGAAACGCAUUGGUUCGGGUGUCUCAUGUAGCAUCUUUCCACUGGGAUGUGCCACAGAAAAACCACUACGAGAGUUACUAUCAUAUUCAGUCAUAUUCAAAGGAUAAAUCAUUUCAGCCUCUCCUGGAUGAAAAUUUGGACAGUGGAAUUUACAGAGGUGCUACAGUUGUAUUUCAUCGGCGACAAGAGAUGGAGGAGACCAUGACUGGAUCAUUGGGUGAUGCUCUGGCAUUAUUCUGUAAUGGGAAACCUGAGUUUGAGCUAAUGCGAGGAGUAAAAAUCAUAAGGCAAAAUACAGCAUCCAUUAGCUGCUUGCACGUGCAAAGACAAAACAUCUUCUUUGAUCCCAAAAGAAUACCUUUUUUUGCAGGAGUCAGACACAUCACGUGGAGUCUUAAGAACUUGAAAACUUCCAGGAAAAAAGGUGCUCCUUGCAUGUUUAGAAGUGUGCCUGCCCCGAGGAGGUCUUACAGCCUUGUUUGGGACUGUACCAAACCCAUUUCACCAGGAGCAUGUCAUCUCAGGAGGCCUGGUUGUGAGCCUGGUUCCUUUGAACACCGCGAAUCCAGGAGGUUCAGCAGGCAAUGCAGUGUUUACAAAACAAGUAAGUGGUGGUCAAGUAGUUUUAUUGGGUGUGCAAACUCCAGAUAAAUGAUAUAAUAUGGGCCUGACUGUUCGUGGGCAUCUGUCUAGAGAUUAUUCCUUAACAAAAGAGUCUGAGAAAUCAUUCAUAUGGUUUGUAUUCACAUCAGGUUUUGGUCACAGACAAAUUCACACAUUCAGCAAUGUAGUUAAUCUCCUAGAUACCCACCAC